rnacentral:rRNA from 1 species
AUUGAACGCUGGCGGCAGGCCUAACACAUGCAAGUCGAGCGAGCGGCGGACGGGUGAGUAAUGUCUGGGAAACUGCCUGAUGGAGGGGGAUAACUACUGGAAACGGUAGCUAAUACCGCAUACCAUCAGAUGUGCCCAGAUGGGAUUAGCUAGUAGGUGGGGUAACGGCUCACCUAGGCGACGAUCCCUAGCUGGUCUGAGAGGAUGACCAGGCCAACCGGAAACGGAAAACGGUGCAGGACCCCACGGGAGGCAGCAGUGGGGAAUAUUGCACAAUGGGCGCAAGCCUGAUGCAGCCAUGCCGCGUGUGUGAAGAAGGCCUUCGGGUUGUAAAGCACUUUCAGCGGGGAGGCGUUACCCGCAGAAGAAGCACCGGCUAACUCCGUGCCAGCAGCCGCGGUAAUUC